rnacentral:pre_miRNA from 1 species
CAUAUACUAUCUCCGUUCGGAAUUACUUGUCUCGGAUAUGGAUGUAUCUAGAACAAAAAUACAUGUAGAUACAUCCAUUUCUGUGACAAGUAAUUCUGAACGAAGGGAGUAGUUU